AGCUUGGAUCAGACCCAUUGUAAAUUGCAAGUUCUUCAACAGUAAAAAGUCUCUGAAAAUUCUAAAAAAAUGAACCCCACAAAAUGAAAAAGUGAUCUUGAGAUUCAGAUACAAAUAAUACAACAAAAGAUACUGAUAUAUUCAAGAUUAUGGAGUUAAAGAGACAAACUUGUGGAGUAGAGUAGAGUGAUUUGAGAGGGAAAAUCUUGAAAAGGAGCAAAGAGAGAAGUGCCACUAUUAGAGAAAUCCCUAAAAAUGGAGACCAACGCAUUUUCACUCUUUACUGAGGACUCAAAAAUCAAAAGUCACCAACUUUCCCGUUCGCAGCUACUUCAAUUGUGCUUACUUGACAGAGAAUUGUAAUAAUUUUAGCUUCUUCAUCAGCCUUUCUUGUUGAAUUGUGUCUUUGAAAAUUACGAGUAUUAUUUAUUGUUUAAAAAGCAAUUUUUUUUAAAAGGACCUGAAAAUUAGACACUUGAUUUUUUAGUCUACUGUGGAGAAUUGAAA
rnacentral:lncRNA from 1 species